AUUGAACGCUGGCGGCAGGCCUAACACAUGCAAGUCGAACGAGUGGCGGACGGGUGAGUAAUGUCUGGGAAACUGCCUGAUGGAGGGGGAUAACUACUGGAAAAGGUAGCUAAUACCGCAUACCAUCGGAUGUGCCCAGAUGGGAUUAGCUAGUAGUUGGGGUAAAGGCUCACCUAGGCGACGAUCCCUAGCUGGUCUGAGAGGAUGACCAGCCACACUGGAACGGAGACACGGUCCGGACUCCUACGGGAGGCAGCAGUGGGGAAUAUUGCACAAUGUGCGAAAGCCUGAUGCAGCCAUGCCGCGUGUAUGAAGAAGGCCUUCGGGUUGUAAAGCACGUUAAGUUGGGAGGCGUUACCAACAGAAUAAGCACCGGCUAACUUCGUGCCAGCAGCCGCGGUAAUUC
rnacentral:rRNA from 1 species